rnacentral:rRNA from 1 species
GAUGAAGAACACAGUGAAAUGUGAUAAUUAAUGUGAAUUGCAGAAUUCAGUGAAUCAUCAAGUUUUUGAACGCACCUUGCACCUUUUGGUAUUCCAAAAGGUACACCUGUUUGAGUGUCAU